UUCCUGAUGGUCCAGUGGUUAGAACUCCACACUUUCACUGCCAAGGGCCUGGGUUCAAUCUCUAGUUGGGAAA
rnacentral:tRNA from 1 species